AGUAACGCGUGAGGAACCUGCCUCAAAGAGGGGGACAACAGUUGGAAACGACUGCUAAUACCGCAUAAGCCCACGGCUCGGCAUCGAGCAGAGGGAAAAGGAGCAAUCCGCUUUGAGAUGGCCUCGCGUCCGAUUGCUAGUUGGUGAGGUAAUGGCCCACCAAGGCGACGAUCGGUAGCCGGACUGAGAGGUUGAACGGCCACAUUGGGACUGAGAUACGGCCCAG
rnacentral:rRNA from 1 species